UUGGCACAGUGGUUGAGCACUCAGCUGCUAACUGAAAAGCUGGUGGUUCGAAUCCACCA
rnacentral:tRNA from 1 species